rnacentral:snoRNA from 1 species
AUGUAAAAUGAUGUAGUUUAACUACUUCUGAAUUUUAUCGAUGUCUUAAAAUUCGAGAUUUUUAAAACUGAUGCAUA